CAGCCGCCGCGGUAAUACGUAGGUAGCAAGCGUUGUCCGGAAUUAUUGGGCGUAAAGGGCUCGCAGGCGGUUUCUUAAGUCUGAUGUGAAAGCCCCCGGCUCAACCGGGGAGGGUCAUUAGAAACUGGGAAACUUGAGUGCAGAAGAGGAGAGUGGAAUUCCACGUGUAGCGGUGAAAUGCGUAGAGAUGUGGAGGAACACCAGUGGCGAAGGCAACUCUCUGGUCUGUAACUGACGCUGAGGAGCGAAAGCGUGGGGAGCGAACAGGAUUAGAUACCCCCGUAGUCCCUGUCUCUUAUAC
rnacentral:rRNA from 1 species